GAUGAACGCUGGCGGCAUGCCUAACACAUGCAAGUCGAACGGGAAGUGGUGUUUCGCGUGCCGGCCGGGUGAGCAACGCGCGAGAAGGUGCCGUUGGGAGGGGAACAACAGUUGUAAAGGGCGGCAAAGACGCCGUAGUUUGAGGAGCAAAAGAAGGAAUCCGCCUGAGGAGGGGCUGGCUAUUGAUUAGCUAGUUGGUGAGGCAAUAGCUUACCAAGGCGAUGAGCUGGAGAGGGUGCGAGAGGAUGAUGAGCCACACUGCAACUGAGACACGGGCCGGGCACCUUCGGAAAGCAGCAGUAGGGAAUUUCCCGCAAUGCGCGAAAGGCUGACAGGGCAAUGCCGCGUGGAAGUAGAAGGGUUACGAAUCAAGAACUUCAGUUUACGAAGCAGAAGCAAUGACGGUAUCUGGAGAAUAAGCACCGGCUAACUCUGUG
rnacentral:rRNA from 1 species